AGAGUUUGAUCCUGGCUCAGGACGAACGCUGGCGGCGUGCCUAAUACAUGCAAGUAGAACGCUGAAGAGAGGAGCUUGCUCUUCUUGGAUGAGUUGCGAACGGGUGAGUAACGCGUAAGUAACCUGCCUUGUAGCGGGGGAUAACUAUUGGAAACGAUAGCUAAUACCGCAUAACAAUGGAUGACACAUGUCAUUUAUUUGAAAGGGGCAAUUGUUCCACUACAAGAUGGACCUGCGUUGUAUUAGCUAGUAGGUGAGGUAAUGGCUCACCUAGGCGACGAUACAUAGCCGACCUGAGAGGGUGAUCGGCCACACUGGGACUGAGACACGGCCCAGACUCCUACGGGAGGCAGCAGUAGGGAAUCUUCGGCAAUGGGGGCAACCCUGACCGAGCAACGCCGCGUGAGUGAAGAAGGUUUUCGGAUCGUAAAGCUCUGUUGUAAGUCAAGAACGGGUGUGAGAGUGGAAAGUUCACACUGUGACGGUAGCUUACCAGAAAGGGACGGCUAACUACGUGCCAGCAGCCGCGGUAAUACGUAGGUCCCGAGCGUUGUCCGGAUUUAUUGGGCGUAAAGCGAGCGCAGGCGGUUUGAUAAGUCUGAAGUUAAAGGCUGUGGCUCAACCAUAGUUCGCUUUGGAAACUGUCAAACUUGAGUGCAGAAGGGGAGAGUGGAAUUCCAUGUGUAGCGGUGAAAUACGUAGAUAUAUGGAGGAACACCGGUGGCGAAAGCGGCUCUCUGGUCUGUAACUGACGCUGAGGCUCGAAAGCGUGGGGAGCGAACAGGAUUAGAUACCCUGGUAGUCCACGCCGUAAACGAUGAGUGCUAGGUGUUGGAUCCUUUCCGGGAUUCAGUGCCGCAGCUAACGCAUUAAGCACUCCGCCUGGGGAGUACGACCGCAAGGUUGAAACUCAAAGGAAUUGACGGGGGCCCGCACAAGCGGUGGAGCAUGUGGUUUAAUUCGAAGCAACGCGAAGAACCUUACCAGGUCUUGACAUCCCGAUGCUAUUUCUAGAGAUAGAAAGUUACUUCGGUACAUCGGUGACAGGUGGUGCAUGGUUGUCGUCAGCUCGUGUCGUGAGAUGUUGGGUUAAGUCCCGCAACGAGCGCAACCCCUAUUGUUAGUUGCCAUCAUUCAGUUGGGCACUCUAGCGAGACUGCCAGUAAUAAACCGGAGGAAGGUGGGGAUGACGUCAAAUCAUCAUGCCCCUUAUGACCUGGGCUACACACGUGCUACAAUGGUUGGUACAACGAGUUGCGAGUCGGUGACGGCGAGCUAAUCUCUUAAAGCCAAUCUCAGUUCGGAUUGUAGGCUGCAACUCGCCUACAUGAAGUCGGAAUCGCUAGUAAUCGCGGAUCAGCACGCCGCGGUGAAUACGUUCCCGGGCCUUGUACACACCGCCCGUCACACCACGAGAGUUUGUAACACCCGAAGUCGGUGAGGUAACCUUUUGGAGCCAGCCGCCUAAGGUGGGACAGAUGAUUGGGGUGAAGUCGUAACAAGGUA
rnacentral:rRNA from 1 species